UAGUCCUAAGGUGAAGUAAAAUCGUCAAGUUAAAGUCUUGGGAGUGUGUCUUGAAUGCAGGAUUAA
rnacentral:tRNA from 1 species